rnacentral:rRNA from 1 species
AAAGAAGUUACUAAGGGCGCACGGGGGAUGCCUGUGGCUCUCAGAGGCGAAGAAGGACGUGAUAAGCUGCGAAAAGCUUGGGGUAGGUGCAAAUAACCGAUGAUCCCGAGAUGUCCGAAUGGGGCAACCCAUCCCACUGAAGGUGGGAUAUUCCGAAAGGAAAGCAAACCCGGAGAACUGAAACAUCUAAGUACCCGGAGGAAGAGAAAAUAAUAAUGAUUCCCCAAGUAGUGGCGAGCGAACGGGGAAGAGCCCAAACCGAAGUUGUUAAGGCAACGUCGGGGUUGUAGGACCACGAUAUAUUUAUUUAUUAUGUAUCAGAACACGGAUGGAAAUCCGGACCAAAGAAGGUGAUAGUCCUGUAGGAGAAACGUAAUAAAUAGAUUAGUGGAAUCCUGAGUACCGCGGGACCGGAGAAAUCCUGUGGGAACCAGGCAGCACCAUCUGCCAAGGCUAAAUACUACUGAGAGACCGAUAGUGAACCAGUACCGUGAGGGAAAGGUGAAAAGCACUCCGAAUAGGAGGGUGAAAGAGAACCUGAAACCGUGCGCUUACAAGCGGUCGGAGUCAGCGUAAGCUGAUGACGGCGUGCCUUUUGCAUAAUGAGCCUACGAGUUACACCUCUCUGGCGAGGUUAAUCCGCACAAGCGGAGGAGCCGAAGCGAAAGCGAGUCUGAAAAGGGCGAGCAGUCAGAGGGGGUAGACGCGAAACUUUGUGAUCUACCCAUGGUCAGAUUGAAGUUCCGGUAACACGGAAUGGAGGAUCGAACCCGUUGACGUUGAAAAGUCUUGGGAUGAACUGUGGGUAGGGGUGAAAGGCUAAUCAAACUGAGAGAUAGCUCGUACUCCCCGAAAUGUUUUUAGGAACAGCCUCAGGAAGAAGUGUCAUACAGGUAGAGCUACUGAUUGGAUGCGGGGGCUUCACCGCCUACCAAAUCCUGACAAACUCCGAAUGGUAUGACAUGGUCCCUGGGAGUGAGGCUAUGGGUGCUAAGGUCCGUGGCCGAGAGGGAAAGAACCCAGACCAUCAGCUAAGGUCCCCAAAUAUAUGCUAAGUUGGUUUAACGAGGUCUGAUUGCAUUGACAGCUAGGAUGUUGGCUUGGAAGCAGCCAUUCAUUUAAAGAGUGCGUAACAGCUCACUAGUCGAGCGAUCGGGCAUGGAUAAUAAUCGGGCAUAAGCAUAUUACCGAAGCUAUGGAUUGAUACUAUACGUAUCACUGGUAGGGGAGCAUUCCAAAGUUGCAGAAGCAGUAUUGUAAAGUGCUGUGGAGAUUUUGGAAAAGCAAAUGUAGGCAUAAGUAACGAUAAUGAGGGUGGGAAACCCUCACGCCGGAAGACUAAGGUUUCCUGAUCAACGCUAAUCGGAUCAGGGUUAGUCGGGUCCUAAGGAGAAGCCGAAGGGCGUAUCUGAUGGAUAAAUGGUUAAUAUUCCAUUACCGCCAAUAACUGCGAAGGGGUGACGAAGUAGUGAAAGGUCUGCCAUCUGACGGAAUAGAUGGUUAAAGGGUGUAGAUAUAUGAGAGGCAGGCAAAUCCGCUUUUCAUGUCGAACCUGAUAGUACCGAGAGUUUUCGGACAAUCGGAUAAUGACUGUAAACAGACUUCCAAGAAAAACCUCUAAGCUUCAGGUUAUUGGUGCCCGUACCGCAAACCGACACAGGUAGUCGAGGAGAGUAUCCAAAGGCGCUCGAGUGAGUCAUGGCUAAGGAACUAGGCAAAUUAACCCUGUAACUUCGGGAGAAAGGGUCCCUCAGCAAUGAGGGCGCAGAGAAAUGGCCCAGGCGACUGUUUAACAAAAACACAUGGCUUUGCAAAAUUGAAAGAUGAAGUAUAAGGCCUGACACCUGCCCGGUGCUGGAAGGUUAAGAGGAGAUGUCAUCGCAAGAGAAGCAUUGAAUCGAAGCCCCAGUAAACGGCGGCCGUAACUAUAACGGUCCUAAGGUAGCGAAAUUCCUUGUCGGGUAAGUUCCGACCUGCACGAAUGGUGUAACGAUCUGGGCACUGUCUCAGCCAUGAGCUCGGUGAAAUUGUAGUAGCGGUGAAGAUGCCGCUUACCCGCAACGGGACGGAAAGACCCCGUGCACCUUUACUAUAGCUUAACAUUGACUUUGAAUAAACGAUGUGUAGGAUAGGUGGGAGACAAUGAAGCGGGCUCGCUAGGGUUCGUGGAGUCAACGUUGAAAUACCACCCUUUGUUUCUUCGGAGCCUAAUCUGAUAAAAAUCGGAGACAGUGUUUGGUGGGUAGUUUGACUGGGGUGGUCGCCUCCAAAAGCGUAACGGAGGCUUUCAAAGGUAUGCUCAGUACGCUUGGUAACCGUACGCAGAGUGCAAUAGCAUAAGCAUGCUUGACUGUGAGACAAACAAGUCGACCAGGUAGGAAACUAGGAUAUAGUGAUCCGGUGGUUCCGUAUGGAAGGGCCAUCGCUCAAAGGAUAAAAGGUACGCCGGGGAUAACAGGCUGAUCACUCCCAAGAGCUCACAUCGACGGAGUGGUUUGGCACCUCGAUGUCGGCUCGUCAUAUCCUGGGGCUGGAGAAGGUCCCAAGGGUUCGGCUGUUCGCCGAUUAAAAUGGCACGCGAGCUGGGUUCAGAACGUCGUGAGACAGUUCGGUCCCUAUCUGUUGUGGGCGUUGGAAGUUUGCGAGGAGCUGACCUUAGUACGAGAGGACCGGGUUGGACAAACCUCUGGUGUACCUGUUGUGGAGCCAAUCUGCAUAGCAGGGUAGCUACGUUUGGAAGAGAUAAGCGCUGAAAGCAUCUAAGCGCGAAACUCGCCUCAAGAUGAGACUUCCCUUGAGGGUCGUCGAAGACUACGACGUUGAUAGGCUGCAGGUGUAAAGGUGGUAACAUCAAAGCCGAGCAGUACUAAUAGCCCGAUGACUUCUUU